UGAGUUAAAGUGUAAUCAUGAGCGGAAGAGGCAAAACCGGAGGAAAGGCCCGCGCUAAGGCCAAGUCCCGCUCCUCCAGGGCCGGGCUGCAGUUCCCAGUGGGCCGUGUGCACAGGCUGCUCCGUAAAGGCAACUACGCGGAGCGCGUCGGCGCCGGAGCUCCCGUGUACCUGGCGGCCGUGCUCGAGUAUCUGACCGCUGAGAUCCUGGAGCUGGCGGGAAACGCGGCUCGUGACAACAAGAAGACCCGCAUCAUCCCCCGCCACCUGCAGCUGGCCGUCCGCAACGACGAGGAGCUCAACAAACUGCUGGGAGGAGUCACCAUCGCUCAGGGAGGCGUGCUGCCCAACAUCCAGGCUGUGCUGCUGCCCAAGAAGACCGAGAAGGCCAAGUUCCUUGCAACUGGAGAGACAUUUCAAAUCUUGGCCUUCCAGUACAAACUUGGAAGAGCUACAGUCGCCCAGAUUGUCCACUCAACAGUUGGUGCCAUUGAAAAGACAAUGAUGUCGACACAGUUCCCUCCACUAACAGAGGCAUCCUGGAGAGCCACUGCACAAGACUUUUGGGAGUGCUGGGGAUUUCCAAAUUGUCUGGGUGCUACAGAUGGCAAACAUGUGAACACUUAAGUGCCACACAACUCUGGUAGGUUGUAUUUUGAUUAUAAGGGCAACUUCUCUCAUUAAACCACAGCAAAAAUCCACAAAUUAAUCAAGGAAUUCAGUAAAAUGAUAUUUAGAUUUGUGGCCUUUUAUAUGACAGGACCACUGCAGUAUGAAAUGGAGAGAGUGGGUGGAGACUUACUGAGGGUGAGCCCACAAUAUCAAUGUGGUAGGAACCAUAUAUGUGCAACGCUUUAAACCACAGCAUCACCGGUGCAAUUCAUGACUUUUAUAAUCAGUUCUUUGUAUAGCUACAGACUAUAUACAUUAUUGUCUGCAGAAUUCAUUUCUUAUUAAUGUGUCAUUACUUACCCCAUGUGUUUAAUUUGGUGCGUCCAUCCUUUACAGCUCCAUCUGCUCGUUAUGGCAACGUUAUAACUCCAGUGUCAUUUAGAGGCACGUUCCUGAGCUCCAGAGAUCCAGCACAGAUGAACAGAGUGAUUGUGCCUUCAUACUCUGGAGCAGUAGUGUUAGGAACAGUAGAGCAGAUGAAAGCUUUAGUGCCAAACACCCUUUGUGUUGGAUAAAGAGACGUGGUGAACAUCACAGCAUCUCCCACAGCUGCAUCUACAGAGCCUUGUGAUAAUACACCACCUCCUGAACAGAAACCUGCAGAACAGUGCACAAAACUAACUUUACUUUACUAUAAAACACCAACAGAGUCAACUUGAUGCUAUUCAUUCACAUUUAGGAGACUCAAUGCAGAUUUACUGUUCUUAUCUCCAGAAGACACUCCAGUGACAAUGUGUCAGGUGCCAGCAAGGCUAGAACUGAAAUGAAAGAACCUGUGAACAGGAAGAACAAUGUUGGAUUUUACAACAGUUCGUGUUAGAUAAGGACAGUGACCCUAACACUUUCAAUUAUUAUCUAUGUGUUCUGCUCUCAGCUCAGUUGAAGCAUAUCCCGGUGUAUCUGUGACACUGUUCUCAGAUUGAUAUUUGUAGCCAUAGAGCUGUACUUUAUUAAUGAAGUGUAGCCUGAAUGAUCCUGAGCAGCUCAGCCAUGUGAGCUGCCAAACAGGAAUGCCACAGAUUCUGCUGAUUGUGUUCAUAUUCUAUAAAGAAUAACCUCAGUAAGAAAGUCUGGACUACAGAAAAAUAAACAUUCAUCUACUUGUAUUAACUUGUUACAUGCACUGUAACUGUAUGUGAAGCCUCAGAUGUUUUGUUUGUGAUUUGAUUUGAAGAACGACAGAUGUGCUCUCCACUGUCUGCAGAUCCAGUCAUGGUUUUAGUAUAUUCAGUGUCACUAAGAGCCACGUUCCGGAGCUCCAGAGAUCCAGUAGAGAUGAACCGAGUGAUCCUGUCUACAUACUCUGGAGCAGUGAAGUUACCAGCAGAACUUGAAGUGAUGAUAUCGGUAGAGCCAAACGACCAUCCUGUUGCUAUAAGUGGAGUUUGUGUUGGAGCCAGUGAAGUGGUGAACAUGACUGUGCCUCUCUCAGCUGCAUUCGCAGAGUCAGGCAACACACCAGCUCCAGACGCCAAACCUGGAGAUUACACACACAUAUGAAAUAACUCACUAAUAAUUCAAUAUAAAUCAUUCAAUCAAACUCAAUAUUUAAAUAUAGUUUUAAACAGUUCUUACCAUAAAUAGCACAAAGAAUAAAAACUUGGAGUCUCAUAUCUUCUGUAGUUUUCAGCAUCAGCAGUUUCAUCAGGACACAGUGGUAAUAUGAAGUAUUUAGUAGGAAGUGUUGUGUAAUCAUUAAAUUAUAUUAUACAGAUGAAUGACAGACACAUUAGUAGAUUCAAGAUCAACCUUUUGCUCUUUGGACCUUAGAGCUGUACUUUAUUCACAGAGCUUCACUAAGUUUAACAUGUGCAAUCAGCCACUACAUUGUUUAAUACAUUUGUAAAUAUUUACUUAGUUUUACAUUCACUGUUAAUGGCCUGCAAGUGACCCUGACAGAGAUGGGUUAGCACUAAACAACAUCCCAGACACCAGUAUAAAGAAAUACUGAAAGAAUGAAUAUGAACAGCAAAACUACUUCACUGCACUGAUGUCAUAGUUUUAAACAGUUUUUGCUCUGUUGUUCAAGGUUUAUUUAAUCCAACUGCAGAGACAUUGUUGUAUUUUACAGUAUGUAGUGUUGUGGAACAGACUGCAAACAUUAAAAAAGAACUGAAAAGUUGCUUUGAAUCAAUGAGUCUGAUUAUUGAAGCAAUUGUGCAUAAAAUCACAGAACUGCCGGUCCCUGACAGAGACUCGUUUGUCCCUAAACUGUCACAUAACAAUGUAGACAGAGUCUUUACACCCCACAGGGGGCAUAAAGCACAGGGAUAAUACACACACAUAAGAUAAGACCUAGUCUCAUCUGGAGACAGGUCAACACAAGGCUGGGUCAACACACAACAAUGAGUAGAAUGACAAACUAGGACUGAUAGAAACGAUAGACUCGUAUGUGGGUACAAGGCCAGAGUGUCCUACAGAGGAUGACAGGAUUACAGCGAGCAAUCAAACUAGUUACAAAAAACAAGAUAAAAAGAAUCAAGAGGUUGUGAUAACUUUGCUUAACAAUAAAUAUCUGAUGUACCAUUUAUGAACAGCCUAAACCCAGUAAAAAAUCACUGAUGUAAAGAUUUCCAGAACAAUACACACAUUCAGAACUGUUCGAGUUAAACACAGAGUCUAAAACACUUAAUAAUUUAUGUGAUGAGGAAAUUUGAGUAAAAAUGAGAUUAGAGUUACAAGUUUCAAUUGUAUGGAUUUAAAUCAUUCUCAUACACAGUUUCUUCCUCAUUGUUAGAGUUGUGUGUAUUUGAAGUAUUCUCGUAAACAUACAGCUCAUUCUGACCUGGAUGUGGAGAUGUAAUCUCACUUAAACUUUAUUUUGAGAAUAUUUGAUAAAAUGCAGUAAUACUUACUGUUAUUCCUGAACUUUCUGCCUUUUCUGAAAAAAUAAAAUAAAUAAAUAAAUAAAUAAAUGCAAAUCAAACAUAACAUAGUCAGUAUACAGGAGGCCUGCAUACAUAUUAUAAAUGAGACACUGAAGAUAUGUUUUUUUUUUUUGAACUUACUGGUGUUUAUACACCUAAAACCCUCCGGCUGCAGCUCCAGCAACGACCACUAAUAAAGCAACAGUUACCCCUGUGAUGGCUCCAGCUGAGGGACACCCCCGACCUAUUCAAGAAAUACAAUGAGAUCCAGUUAACCACAGCACCACUUAGUGUCCUCUCAGUGUCACUGCAGACUGUGCACAUUGUGACUGGUGAAUGUUGAAUUAUUGUGAGCAGCACAGCCAUGUGAAGAGUCAAACAGGAAAACUCCACAGAUCCAGUGAUGAUUUGGGUUCAUAUGAUUUAAAGAAAACAUAUUCUGUAGAAUUUACUUUUACUUUAUUUUGUCCAUGUUCUAUCGGUGUUUCCUCAGUGUUCAUUUGCUCAUAGUUGUAUUUUGAUUGAUCCUGCAUGUUUUGUGUGUGUGUGUGUGUGUGUGUGUGUAAUCCUGUGUUGUCCUGCAUCUGAGGCUUAUGUGCUCAGAACAUUUCAGUUCACGCAAUGCCAUACACACCGCUUAAUUUUAUAAAGAAACAGGGAUGGGAUAGACAGGCUAUAUAAAACAGAACUUUAACAGACUUAGGAACACAGCACAAAGUUGUCUGCCUCAGGUCCCUAGCGGGCUGGGCCCUCUCUGCUGUCACCUGGGUGUUGGGUGUGGGGGUCCACCUACGGGUGCCCGGUUGCGUGCUCUCCCGUCCCCUCAGGGUCUCCCCUCUGUGCUGGCUUCACUCUCUGGUCUACCCCCAAGCUCCUUACCUCCCUGAUACUUUUAAUGCAUCACACCCAACUUUUUUUUUUAAUGCAUCACAAGUCAACCAGGGAUGAAUGUGGGUUCAUGUGUGUGAAUUGUGUGAGUAUGUGUGUAGGCUUGUGUGUAUGUGGAUGUGCGUGCACAUUCCUGUGCAGGCAGGU